UCUGUGUGUGUGCACAUUUGCCGCCUGGUUCAGACUACAGACCCUCCAUGUUGUUGUUCCAUAAAUAUAGGAGCAACUCAACGGGUUCUGCACAGCGCGAUUGGUUGAUGCCUUUAUUCGCGGUGUGAAAGCUCAGAAAAUCGUCCUUGUUCCA